AAAAGCACUUUGAAAAGAGAGUGCAAGAGAACGUGAAAUCGAUAUAAUGGAAGCGAAUGAAGUCGGCGUAUCUAACACUGCAUUCAGUUGUUGGGCUGUGCGAUCGCUGCGAUGAGUAUUCCGCAAGGUUGCUUGUUGCGGUGUUGUCGUACGGUUCGUCAAUGCACUUGCGUGUAGAGUGCGACGGGUUGAUUGGUGUCGUCGGUGGAAGUCGUUCGAGAGGACUUGUUUCUUCGGAAACUUGAAACCUAGAGCGGUGGAUGCCUGAUUGACGCUGAUCAAUUGCUAGUCGAGUACUGGUCGUUUCGAUUUUGUCCUUAACUAGUUAGCUGAACAUUCAUUGGACGCAUGCGUACAUGGUUGUUUCGGUUGACGUUGAGGUUAAGAUCUCUGUACUCUUCUCGUCGUAUAGUCGGUCACUCAUUCGACCCGUCUUGAAACACGGACCAAGGAGUUUAUAGUACACGCGAGUCAUUGAGCGUUAAAACUCAAAGGCGUAAUGAAAGUGAAACUAUUUCAAUAGUUGGAACACGAUCAGUGAUUUGUUUUUACGAACGGUUAUUGAGCAGUGUUGCCCCAUUCCUGGAACUUGUUCUGGUGUGGAGGUUGAGCGUGUGCAAUGAGACCCGAAAGAUGGUGAACUAUGCCUGAACAGGAUGAAGCCAGAGGAAACUCUGGUGGAAGUCCGAAGCGGUUCUGACGUGCAAAUCGAUCGUCUGAUUUUGGUAUAGGGGCGAAAGACUAAUCGAACUAUCUA
rnacentral:rRNA from 1 species